AUUAAAAUAUUUACACUGAUGAUUAAUGUUGUGUCUUUGCACCUGUAGCGAUACAUGUUGGAAAAUGGAGACUUUAGCCACCAAGACUGACGUGCCUGGAAACUUCCCUUCACGGGGUUUGUGACUGAAAUGCGUGUGGUCGACGGGAAGCCUGACGAGUACGGCCUGAAUCAUUCCAUCAACACCGGACGGAGUGAAACCUUUGUUGAAAACAGAUUAUAUGAGGAGUGUCCGCCUGAGUGUUUUGUCUGAUCUGUUGUUGAUCGUCUCAUUGACACUGCAUGCAGAUCUGACACCAGGGCUGGACUGGGACAAAAAAUGGUCCCGGGCAUUUUGACUGGAGACCGGCC